GCAGCAGCAGCAGCAGCAGCAGUAGCUGAGUUAACCAAAUCCAGUUCCAAUCAUGAAGUUCGCCGAGCAUUUGUCGGCGCAUAUAACGCCAGAAUGGCGCAAACAGUAUAUUAACUAUGAGGAAAUGAAGGCCAUGUUGUAUGCCGCCAUUGAACAAGCUCCUUCCGCGGAACUUGUGGAUCGCGAGAUGCUCACACGCUACUUCGCCAAGUUCGACGAGGAGUUCUUCCACUACUGCGACAAGGAGCUGGCCAAGAUCAAUACGUUCUACUCGGAAAAGAUGGCGGAGGCAACACGCAAAUAUGGCAACCUGCGCAGCGAGCUGACCGAGGCACUGGAGAUGGGCCAUGUGAAGAAGCAGCCGGCCUGGAAGCGGCGCACACCGCUGGGCAAGAAAAAUGUGCCCGCACGCAAAAUACAGGAUCUCAAGUUGGCAUUUAGUGAAUUCUAUUUGGGUCUGAUACUGCUGCAAAACUAUCAGAAUCUCAAUUUUACGGGCUUCCGCAAGAUACUCAAGAAGCACGACAAACUGCUCAGCGUGGAUUACGGAGCUCGUUGGCGCACGGACCAUGUGGAGGCGGCGCAUUUCUAUACCAACAAAGACAUCGACAGAUUAAUACAGGAGACGGAGCAGGCGGUCACACAAGACAUCGAAGGCGGCGAUAGACAGCGUGCCAUGAAGCGUCUGCGCGUCCCGCCGCUCGGCGAGCAGCAGAGUCCAUGGACCACAUUCAAGGUGGGCCUCUUUUCGGGCGCCUUCGUUGUGCUCUUCUUUACCGUUGUCAUAUCAGCCAUGUUCUAUGGCUUUGGUGAGAAUUGGCGCGUUGGGCUGCGCAUGUUCCGAGCGCCUUUUCUGAUCACGGAAUGCCUCUUCCUGUGGGGCGUCAAUGUCUAUGGCUGGCGCUCGUCGGGUGUGAAUCAUGUGCUCAUCUUUGAGCUCGAUCCACGCAAUCAUCUCUCCGAGCAGAACAUCAUGGAAAUCGCCUCGGUGUUCGGUGUCAUUUGGGCGUGCAGCGUGCUCUGCUAUAUAUUCUGCGAGCCCCUGGGCAUUCCACAGUAUGCGGCUCCAUUGUUCCUCUACACCCUGAUGGUCGCCUUUCUGCUCAAUCCCACAAAGACGUUUCACCACGAGGCUCGCUACUGGGCGCUGCGUGUGCUCGGUAGAGUCAUCAUGGCGCCGUUUUGCUUCGUCAAUUUCGCGGACUUUUGGCUGGCCGAUCAGCUGAAUAGCAUAGUGCCAGCCUUCCUGGACAUACCCUUCCUUAUGUGCUUCUUCGGCCGGAAUCCCACAUGGCACAAAGCCGGCGAGGUAAUCACUGUGUGCAGUACGUAUCCAUUCUGCAUCCCAUUGUUUCCAUUCUGCCGGCUUACUUCCGCUUUGCCCAGUGCAUACGACGCUAUCGGGAUACGAAGGAAUUCUUUCCACAUCUGGUGAAUGCUGCCAAAUAUGCGACGUCCUUCUUUACGGUUAUCUUCGCCCAUAAAUAUCACACAACAACGGAUACGUAUCCGCUGUCGAAGGAGAAUCCUUGGUUCUACUGCUGGAUAGUCUCGGCAUUGUUCUCUUCGUGCUACGCCUACACGUGGGACAUC
rnacentral:misc_RNA from 1 species